rnacentral:rRNA from 7 species
CAAAUCAGGUAGGACUACCCGCUGAACUUAAGCAUAUCAAUAA